UAAUUGACGCAAAUAGUUGAUCUGCGAUGUCUUCAGUAACAUCCAUCACUCCCAACCUCCUGAGCUUUCUCAGUUUGCUCAAUUCUGUGGGAAAGUAACCACCACCAUGCACACCAGUGAGGGUAAGGAGGUCUGUGAAUCGAGAUAUCCCUUCUGGCAGCUUCAUCCCUUUGACAUCCAUGUUCUUGAACAUUUUGAUGUGCCUUAGUCUAAUCAGAUUUAGUAUCUCACCUGACAGUGAUGUCAAUCUCCCGCACCAUCUGAUGUCCAGCGUCUCCAAAGCAUUUAAGUUGCCUAUUGUCACCGGAAGAUCAGUGAUAUCAUUGUAUUUCAAGCCCAGAUAAGUCAAAUGAAUCAGGUCUCCCA
rnacentral:lncRNA from 1 species